GAUUAACGCUAGCGGCAGGCAUAAUACAUGCAAGUUGAACGAGAUAAGUUUUAGCAAUAGAACUUUGAAAGUGGCGCACGGGUGCGUAACACGUAUGCAACCUACCUUUUACUGGGGAAUAGCCUCUCGAAAGAGAGAUUAAUACCCCAUAAUAUAUUGAUAAGGCAUCUUAUUAAUAUUAAAGUUACGGCGGUAAAAGAUGGGCAUGCGGCUGAUUAGGUAGUUGGUGAGGUAAUGGGUCACCAAGCCGACGAUCAGUAGGGGGUCUGAGAGGAUGUCCCCCCACACUGGUACUGAGACACGGACCAGACUCCUACGGGAGGCAGCAGUAGGGAAUAUUGGACAAUGGGCGCAAGCCUGAUCCAGCCAUGCCGCGUGCAGGAUGAAGGCCCUAUGGGUCGUAAACUGCUUUUGUACGGGAGGAAACCUCACUACGUGUAGUGAGUUGACGGUACCGUGAGAAUAAGGAUCGGCUAACUUCGUGCCAGCCGCCGCGGUAA
rnacentral:rRNA from 1 species